CCUACGGGUGGCAGCAGUAGGGAAUAUUGCUCAAUGGGGGAAACCCUGAAGCAGCAACGCCGCGUGGAGGAUGAAGGUUUUCGGAUUGUAAACCCCUUUUGUUAGAGAAGAUAAUGACGGUAUCUAUCAAAUAAGCACCCUCUAAAUCUGUGACAGCACCCGCGGUAAUACGAAGGGUGCAAGCGUUACUCGGAAUCAUUGUGCGUAAAGAGCGCGUAGGCGGGAUAGCAAGUCAGAUGUGAAAUCCUAUGGCUUAACCAUAGAACUGCAUUUGAAACUGUUAGUCUAGAGUAUGGGAGAGGUAGGCGGAAUGCUCGGUGUAGCGGUGAAAUGCGUAGAGAUCAAGAGGAACACUAAUGGCGAAGGCGACCUGCUAGAACAUAACUGACGCUGAGGCGCGAAAGCGUGGGGAGCAAACAGGAUUAGAUACCCGUGUAGUC
rnacentral:rRNA from 1 species